GCAAAUCCAAGUUGAUGACGUGGUUUGGUUCGCCAAGCAGUCGAACAGGAUGGCUGACCAGAGCAGGCAAAUUAAACUCGCUGCGGCUAAGAAAAAGCUGAAGGAGUUUCAGCAGAAGAGCUCCCCUCUAAGUGGAGGAGGAGAAGAAACGGGAGGUGGUGGAGUAGGAGCCAAAAAGAAGAGAAAAGUCAAGGGAGGGAACCAAACCGACGCCCCUUCGUCGGACAGGAGUCCUCCGUACAACGCCUGCUUUGUAUCUUUUCUGUGUUCCUGUGAGUCGAGUUUUAAUCUAGGGCAGCGCAGAUAAAAAUGCACUGUGUGUACACAUUGCAAAGGACUGCAAUUACAAAACGUGUGUGUCUUCCACUCUCUCUGUGCAAAUUGAAUUACCAGUCAGAAUGG
ensembl:lncRNA